rnacentral:rRNA from 1 species
AGCGAACGCUGGCGGCAGGCUUAACACAUGCAAGUCGAGCGGGCACUUCGGUGUCAGCGGCAGACGGGGGAGUAACACGUGGGAACGUACCCAUUGGGUCGGAAUAACGCUGGGAAACUAGCGCUAAUACCGGAUACGCCCUUUUGGGGAAAGGCUUGCUGCCGAAGGAUCGGCCCGCGUCUGAUUAGCUAGUUGGUGGGGUAAUGGCCUACCAAGGCGACGAUCAGUAGCUGGGCUGAGAGAAUGAUCAGCCACCCUGGGACUGGGACACGGCCCAGACUCCUACGGGAGGCAGCAGUGGGGAAUAUUGGACAGUGGGCGCAAGCCUGAUCCAGCCAUGCCGCGUGAGUGAUGAAGGCCUUAGGGUUGUAAAGCUCUUUUGUCCGGGACGAUAAUGACGGUACCGGAAGAAUAAGCCCCGGCUAACUUCGUG